UACGUAGGGGGCAAGCGUUGUCCGGAUUUACUGGGCGUAAAGCGCGUUCAGGCGGUUCGGCAAGUCGGGCAUGAAAUCUCUCGGCUCAACCGGGAGAGGUUGUCCGAUACUGUUGGACUUGAGGGCAGUAGAGGGUGGUGGAAUUCCGGGUGUAGUGGUGAAAUGCGUAGAGAUGUGGAGGAACACCAGUGGCGAAGGCGACUCUUUGGCCUGUAACUGACACUGAGGCGCGAAAGCGUGGGGAGCAAACAGG
rnacentral:rRNA from 1 species